rnacentral:rRNA from 1 species
UACGUAGGGACCAAGCGUUGUUCGGAUUUACUGGGCGUAAAGGGCGCGUAGGCGGCAAUUCAAGUCAGUUGUGAAAUCUCCGAGCUUAACUCGGAACGGUCAACUGAUACUGUUUUGCUAGAGUACAGAAGGGGCAAUCGGAAUUCUUGGUGUAGCGGUGAAAUGCGUAGAUAUCUGGAGGAAUACCGGUGGCGAAGGCGGCAUCCUGGACCGACAUUGACGCUGAUGAGCGAAAGC